GAUGAACGCUGGCGGCGUGCUUAACACAUGCAAGUCGAACGGAAAGGCCCCUGCUUGCAGGGGUACUCGAGUGGCGAACGGGUGAGUAACACGUGGGUGAUCUGCCCUUCACUUCGGGAUAAGCUUGGGAAACUGGGUCUAAUACCGGAUAGGACCAUGGUUUGGAUGCCAUUGUGGGAAGUUUUUCGGUGGGGGAUGAGCUCGCGGCCUAUCAGCUUGUUGGUGGGGGAAUGGCUUACCAAGGCGUCGACGGGUAGCCGGCCUGAGAGGGUGUACGGCCACAUUGGGACUGAGAUACGGCCCAGACUCCUACGGGAGGCAGCAGUGGGGAAUAUUGCACAAUGGGCGCAAGCCUGAUGCAGCGACGCCGCGUGGGGGAUGACGGCCUUCGGGUUGUAAACUCCUUUCGCUAGGGACGAAGCGCAAGUGACGGUACCUGGAGAAGAAGCACCGGCUAACUACGUG
rnacentral:rRNA from 1 species